AUACCUUUCUCGGUCUUUUUGCUAAGAUCAACGUGUAGUAGUAUCUAUUUUUAUCAGUUUAAUGUUUGAUACGUGAAUCAUUGACUCACACGAUACCCAUCUAUCAAGGUCCUUGGCAUUUGAAUAUUGCCAACUUGUAGGAUUAAUCAACAAAACCUAUGCUUUCACAUGUUGAGAUCAACGCGUAGGACACCUA